CUAUCCCUUCAUUCUUUAGUUCCACAUACAAUAGUAAAUAUAAUCCUCCCCCUCAUGUAGUAGUUGCAUACUCACGUCGGUUGCGUCAAACAAAAGAUAAAAAAUAUAUUUACAUUCAACGGAUUUUUGCGGUGAAAUAUUUUUACUCGGCUGAUUGAAAUAGCCGUGAUGAUAGCAGGACCCGUGUACUGCAAUAGUACUACUGCUUCCUCUACUACGCAGUAUUUCCAUUUACUGGUUUUGUCUCCAGUGACUGUGUUUACACCUUGUUGUGGAGUCAGCCUGAGCGCCCAGAACCUCCCCCGUCCAUGCCACCAAAGAGAGAAUCCACUUUAACACAACCGACACCAGUGAAGAUGAUCAAGAUCGGCACCGGUGAGCAUGAGUGGAACGAACCGAUGGACGAUAAAUACGGACUGGCUGAGGAGUCCAGUUACUCCCCGUACCCCAACAACCAGCCUGAAGGCAUCGCUUUUGAAGAAGAUGUUACUGCAAGUCCAGGGAUUCGAACAGACACCAUCACACUCCUGAUGAAAAUAGAGCAACUCCAGGCACAACUCAAGUAUGAGCGCAGGUGUCGGCUAUUGGCAGAGAGGGAGCUCAGGGAGCUAAAAGAGAUGAACACUCUGAUGGUGCAGAUGAGGCACACGGCUCAUGAACUGCGAGCGACUCUGGAUCACGUCCUUCAAGGAGGCGAAGCAUCCGUUGCUCCACAAAGCUCAGAUGAAAGCCUGUCUUUCCUCACAGAGUCUGAGGCAGAAAUGAGAGUUCAUCAAGGACCAGAGGGUGAUCUCAACUUCAUCUGCCUCACUAAAAACCUUCGAGUGCCUAAAAACCCUUUAUGAGCGCAUUGCAGAAAUUGCAGACUACAAGAAGUACACGUCGGCUCUGCUCAUGAUGCUUUUUGACCGAGAGACGUUAGCUACUCACUCCCUGCAGGGCCGGAGGAGCACCUUCACAGGAGACGAGAGCCAAAAGCCUCAGCUCCCACCUGAGAUCCUGAAAAGUAUCAUUGGUAAGCCAAAGCACAGAAAGUCCAUCGAAUUACCACCACAGAGACCCUUUAAGUUUGUUUCUUCCCUCCUAGAUCAUGUGGAAGCAAAGUUUGGAGCUGAGAGGAGCCAAAUAAAAACGGCCAUCCGUACA
rnacentral:lncRNA from 1 species